rnacentral:rRNA from 1 species
UACAGAGGUCUCAAGCGUUGUUCGGAUUCAUUGGGCGUAAAGGGCUCGUAGGCGGUUUGUCGCGUCGGGCGUGAAAUCCACUGGCUUAACUGGUGGCUUGCUUUCGAUACGGGCAGACUGGAGGUAUGCAGGGGAGAACGGAAUUCCUGGUGUAGCGGUGAAAUGCGCAGAUAUCAGGAGGAACACCGGUGGCGAAGGCGGUUCUCUGGGCAUGUCCUGACGCUGAGGAGCGAAAGCGUGGGGAGCGAACAGG